GACGAACGCUGGCGGUGUGCUUAACACAUGCAAGUCGAACGGAAAGGCCCUGCUUUUGUGGGGUGCUCGAGUGGCGAACGGGUGAGUAACACGUGAGUAACCUGCCCUUGACUUUGGGAUAACUUCAGGAAACUGGGGCUAAUACCGGAUAGGAGCUCCUGCUGCAUGGUGGGGGUUGGAAAGUUUCGGCGGUUGGGGAUGGACUCGCGGCUUAUCAGCUUGUUGGUGGGGUAGUGGCUUACCAAGGCUUUGACGGGUAGCCGGCCUGAGAGGGUGACCGGCCACAUUGGGACUGGGAUACGGCCCAGACUCCUACGGGAGGCAGCAGUGGGGAAUAUUGCACAAUGGGCGGAAGCCUGAUGCAGCAACGCCGCGUGCGGGAUGACGGCCUUCGGGUUGUAAACCGCUUUCGCCUGUGACGAAGCGUGAGUGACGGUAAUGGGUAAAGAAGCACCGGCUAACUACGUG
rnacentral:rRNA from 1 species